AAAACACCAACAUAUCCAUAAUUUGGCGAGUUUUCUCCUUUCACCUGCUGGGACAAUCAAUGUUAGCAGCCUGACAUUCACUGUUGAUAUUCAUGAGAAGAUAAUGGCAAGAUAUUUUUCCUGUAACCGUAUUCUUCCCCUGAAUGAGGAGCUACUGUUUAUUUCACUUAAACAAUAAGCCAUCUACUUCAAGAGAAGCUGGGUCCUUCUCCAAAGGAAGGAAGAAAAUGCUGAUCAGUCUGAGUUAGCCAUGGUGAUACAAUGACCCUUUUGU